rnacentral:rRNA from 1 species
AUUGAACGCUGGCGGCAUGCCUUACACAUGCAAGUCGAACGGCAGCGCGGACUUCGGUCUGGCGGCGAGUGGCGAACGGGUGAGUAAUACAUCGGAACGUACCCUGUUGUGGGGGAUAACUAGUCGAAAGAUUAGCUAAUACCGCAUACGACCUGAGGGUGAAAGUGGGGGACCGCAAGGCCUCACGCAGCAGGAGCGGCCGAUGUCUGAUUAGCUAGUUGGUGGGGUAAAGGCCCACCAAGGCGACGAUCAGUAGGUGGUCUGAGAGGACGAUCAGCCACACUGGGACUGAGACACGGCCCAGACUCCUACGGGAGGCAGCAGUGGGGAAUUUUGGACAAUGGGGGCAACCCUGAUCCAGCAAUGCCGCGUGUGUGAAGAAGGCCUUCGGGUUGUAAAGCACUUUUGUCCGGAAAGAAAUCGCGCUGGUUAAUACCUGGCGUGGAUGACGGUACCGGAAGAAUAAGCACCGGCUAACUACGUG